AUAUCCUGAAGGUGGCUGACACUGCUUGAUCAGCUGCUCCCUCACUCCUGGUGGCUCAAGGAGAACCUGUGCUGGGAGAACCAGCAGCAUAACAGGGGCGUCCACAUACCCCACUGUGGCCUUCUGAGAGGCGGCCCCUCCCCCACAGGCACUUGGGAUGAGCCCAGCCAGCUUUCACCUCAUCAGUAUCUGUACUGCAAGAUUCAGGUAGCUGGUGAAAAUGGUACAAAGAAGUCCCACAGUUCUUCAGAUUCCCUCCCUCAAAUUUUUGCAUCUAUAAACUGAACCUAUACAACCUACUUUCACCUUACCACAGUGUUAAACUUAACAGUGAUGUGGCCACUACCACAGAGCUUUCGUCCUGCCAGCAGCUCUGAGGAUGUUUGCUAUUUGUUAGGAAGUUUCGAGGCACAGCUUUUCUGAGACAAGGCCUGGCAGGGACUAGGAGACAGUAGGCACCACAGCAUUCCAGAAGGCCAUUUUCAACUCCUGGGAAUUAGUGAAUGCCUAUGAACAUCUCUAACUGCAGAAGUGGCAGUGGUACAAGUGAGGCAGGUACAAGGAGUCUGUGGCAGAACAAAGGAAGGAUCUCAACUCAUGUUUUUAACAAGCAAUUAUGUUUUCUGUAUGACAUGCAUGUGGUAGCUGCCUUUCAGUUUAGCACAGUCUUUUGAAGAAGCCACUUGUCACGUGUCACCUCUUUACAAACAUCUUUCCAACUUGCAAGACCCUCUGCAGAUCUGAGAAACAGCAUGAAAAAGAUGUCCCACGUGAGCGCUGUGGAAAUAAAGCCUGUUCUCAAGAAAAUCUUCCAUCAACAUCUUCCUUCCCUUCAUCAGCAGCUGCAGGCAGCACAGAUUUAACAGCUUGCAAAAAAAAAACCCACUUUUUUCUUUGCAUUAUUUAAUGUGUAUUGCAGAUAACGAUGCUCUGGGAUCUCCUUGCUCUGCUUGUGUUGCAGAGACAGCAGGCGUCUGGCACAGAGACCUUGGGAGAGCCACAGGUGGCCAAGAGCUGAUUCAUUUGCCUAGAAUCUCUUGAGUUAGGAACCCCUGACAGCUGAAAAUCUGCUUUGACAGAAGAACUCCAAGACCUGAGCUGGAACUGUGUUUCUCAGCAUUGCUUAGCAAUUCCUAUUAGGGUGAAAUUGCACAUUUGAUCCAACUUAGUCUUCCAAAUCAUGUAGGUUUUGUGAUUUUAAGAACCCAUCUAUGUAAAUUAUAAAUUCUGGUUUAUUUGCAUUCUCCUGGCUUUCUUCCUGCCAUUCCUCAACUGUUCUGCUAAUGGAGGGAGAAGCACCUCCAGAUGAACCUGGAGCCAUCAGUUUUGUCCUCCUUUAGUUCAGAAGAGGAUUAGAGGAAAAGGGAGCUUCUCAGGGACAAAAGACAACAAAUAAUUGAAAAAAUAACUUUUAAAUUCCAGGAACUGGCAGCAUAAGUGAGAGGAACUAAGAGGGCAUUCUUUUGUCCAAGGAGAUGCAGUUGCUGACUGAAAGCUAAAAUGCUGACUAAAAAUGAAUAAAAUUCUACAAUUUGAAAUAAAAGAUGAAGAUGUCAAGACACCCCAAACACUCCAGCUUAACCCUGGAAAAAAAGGAAGGAAAAAAAAAUAAAAACACAGUUCCUAGCAGGUGUGAAUUUAUAGGCAGAGAUAAUACCUUCAAUGAGAGCAAUGCAAUAGCCUAAAAAACACACAAGCUUUUAGGGUAUGUAGGCUGAAGCUUUGAUCCUCAAAUCAUAACACAACUUGAAACUAGUGAUACAAGUUUAAUUUAUGCAAAUUAAUCAAUUACGCCAUAAAAGAAGUUUGCAGCCUAAACUGUAGAGGAUGAAGAAUCUGAAAAACAGAAACAUGCUAAGUCACCAGAUCCUACUAGAAAGAGGAAAGGUGUGUUUUGUUAGAAAACAGAGGAACUGCUGGAGGUUCAGGAAGAUCAAAAGCUGUAACACAUAUACUAUUAAGUCUAUAAGUAGACUAUAAUGUAGUAGAAUCAUUUUUUUCAUCUCCUUGUCUCCUGCACUGUAACUAUUGAUUAUACUAAUCACGUUUUAAAAGUUCUUAAUCUGAGUUUAACUUUGAAAAUUCUCAUUUGUAUUUCAGUAGUAAGAAGCAUUUCUGAGUCUGACAAUUUGUCUAUUCCCUUGUAAUUCAAGUUGGUCUCAUAAAAUAUGUUACUUCGUCCUAUAGAUUCAACAUAUAGGUUCAAGAUGGAAACUCUCAACAAAUAAGUGUUUUUAGAUUUCUAUAAGUAAAUUCCAAAAGGAGAAAGCAAAUAAAUAAUGU
ensembl:lncRNA